rnacentral:lncRNA from 1 species
AAAACGGGAGUCGCCACCAAUCCUUUUUUGACGAGAUGUGAUCGGGUCACCUCAAAAAGUGGUUGUUUUUAAUAAAUGAUUUAAUUUUAUUAAAACAACGAUUUUGGUCUACGAAAUUCAGAAAAAUGAGUUCGGGAGUCGGUUACGCACGAGGAAGGAUUAGCACCCUCGAUACGCCCAAAAUUGGUACCUAGUUGAUUAAUUAGUGUCUUAGUGUCGAAAAUUGAAAAUUUGAAGAGUUUUAAAAAUACGAUCCUUAAAAGAAACUCUGAUAACGUGAAUUGAAAUAUAAGAUUCUCUUGUUCCGAAGGAAUAUCAUAUCCAGCACAUUAGGACACGAUACUCUAAACCAUCAAAACCAAGAUCGCCUUAUAGUUUAAUGAUACCAUACUUUGAAGCUUUAAGAGGAUAUUUGGCUAUUUAGUCGAACGAGAAAUCGAAACCCAGCACGUUAGGGCACGAUUCCUCGAAUUUCCGAACAUCAAACAUUGCCUCACUUUAGAAAAUCCGUGUAAAAUUUCAAAGAGAUAUUCGAUUAUUUUGGACAAAUGAAAAAGCGCAACCCAGCACGAUAGGGCUCGAUUCUCGAAUUGUCAAACACCGAGUAUUGCCUCCGUUUUAAAGGAUUUUUAGAUGACACGGGUGAAAUUCUAAAAGGACCUUCAAUUACUUUGAGCAAACGAGAAAUUGCAACCCAACACGUUAGAGCACGAAUCCACGAAUUACCAAGUAUCGAAUAUCGCCUUCGUUUUGAAGAAUUCUUAAUAGUUGUGAAACUAGUUUAAAACGCAUUAAUUCAAUUUGAAAUAAGACGAAAUUAAUCAUAAAAUUUGGGUUUUAUAAAACCACAUUUCAAAAGUCAAGUAAAAAAAAAGAUGAAUGGGGUAAUAUGUGUACGCAUAAAAAUACGACAAUGGAAAAAUGAAGAUAAUACAAUUUAUUUAAUCAACUAACAAGAACUUAAAACUAAGAGCAUGGAAUAUAAUUAACAAGGCAAUAUAAAAAAAUGAACAAAUAAAUAAUGCAACGAUAACAUGCAUGGCAUAAUGUAUCAUGACUACUACUAGAUAUCCA